rnacentral:lncRNA from 1 species
UAAGGUAGUAGCAGACAUUUUUUAACCAUUGAUCCCAGAAAGGGCACACCUUCCAACACCACCCCUACUGCGCCUCCCGGCAAAGCAUGAUGUGAUUGAUCCCUAACAACAAGCAGCUCACAAACUAUUUAACCUCUAAAGUAGGGAACGGCCUCAUGAUUGCUAACUGUGAAACCCCAUAGUAACGAGCUCAUUAUUUCCAACCUUAUUGUUCUGUAUUUGGUAAUUAGCUAAGGAAGAGACAGAGUAAAAUUAGAAAUUGUUAUGGGAAAUACAAAAUGUAUACUUUUCUUUCAUCAGUGUUGCACUUCUAUUUUUUGUUUUAUUUAAAUGUUAGUAUUUGAAAAACCAUUAUUUUUCAUCCAUCCCCCAGCUUUCAGUGUCACUUAAGAAAAUACCCUAAGAUGUGUAUUAUUGUGUUCUAAUUACAGUUGAGGGCGCAGUGGCAUGUGAUUGUCAUAUAAUAACUAAAGCCCUGGAGUGCCUUUUUAUUCCAUUAAAAAUGACCUUAGCUUUGGAUCACAGGACUCUGCAUUGAUUUGUCUUUUUUUGUGGUUUCCUCUCCACAGGUCUGCUUCCUCAUCCAGGGUGAUGCAUUGAAUUAUGACCCAUAUGGGUCAGUGAAAUUAACUAUCUUUCCCGUGAGAAAUAAUUCAUCAAUCAGUGUUUUCUAUUAAUGUGAGGGAACAAAGUUAUAUGAAGUAUAUAGAAAAAAUUUUAAAAACAAAAAAUUUGAUAAAAGUACAUUUUCUUUGUGAGAUACAACUUGUGAUAAAGAUGAGUAAAUCAAUUGCUGUUGAUGAUGUGAUUAUGGUUUUGGCACUAGGCAGGAGGUUAGGAUAAAUGUUGUAAGGGGCCCUAAUAUUCCGUGGCUUAACUUUUCUAGGAAAUAAUUAAGCUUGAACAGAGGGUAAAAACAUGUCUUCUCUUAAUCUACAUUUUUGUGGUACCUUGAUCUGACCAAAAAUGGUAAUCAUAAUACACCCAAAUUUUGUAGCUUAAAACAUAUACCUUAUGCAUCAGGUCUAUGGAGAGGCCUCCACAAUAGCUAGCAUUCAGCUGGAAGAUACUACGGCUAGGUGGGACAGGGGAGAACUUGAUGACUAGAAUCUUCUGUAGCUGUGUUGUCCUGUAUGGAACUAAGUGACUAAGUUUCAAUUGUGUUGUUGAAAUACCUAGUCUACUCCAAUUCAAUCCCAUCCAGGUGGCAUGUACCAAUGCCAUCUCACUAGUCCCAGUGAUCAAUUUCUGUUCACAACUGAUCCUAAUGAUAGGACUAAGAGCCAAAGGAAGCACAUAAACAAGACUAGUGUCUGCAAAUACUAGCUGAUAGAAUAAAAAAGGGAGAGAACGAUCCA